rnacentral:rRNA from 1 species
AGGUAAGCUACUAAGAGCGAAUGGUGGAUGCCUUGACUGGUAAAGGCGAUGAAGGACGUACUAGACUGCGAUAAGCUACGGGGAGCUGUCAAGAAGCUUUGAUCCGUAGAUUUCCGAAUGGGGCAACCCAAUGUAUAGAGAUAUACAUUACCUAUAUAGGAGCGAACGAGGGGAAUUGAAACAUCUUAGUACCCUCAGGAAAAGAAAUCAAUAGAGAUUGCGUCAGUAGCGGCGAGCGAAAGCGCAAGAGGGCAAACCCAGUGCUUGCACUGGGGGUUGUAGGACUGCAAUGUGCAAGAGGUAAGUUUAGCAGAACAUUCUGGAAAGUAUAACCAUAGAGGGUGAUAGUCCCGUAUGCGAAAAACAAACCUUAGCUAGCAGUAUCCUGAGUAGGGCGGGACACGAGGAAUCCUGUCUGAAUCCGGGUCGACCACGAUCCAACCCUAAAUACUAAUACCAGAUCGAUAGUGCACAAGUACCGUGAGGGAAAGGUGAAAAGAACUGAGGUGAUCAGAGUGAAAUAGAACCUGAAACCAUUUGCUUACAAUCAUUCAGAGCCCUAUGUAGCAAUACAGGGUGAUGGACUGCCUUUUGCAUAAUGAGCCUGCGAGUUGUGGUGUCUGGCAAGGUUAAGCAAACGCGAAGCCGUAGCGAAAGCGAGUCUGAAUAGGGCGCUUAGUCAGAUGCUGCAGACCCGAAACGAAGUGAUCUAUCCAUGAGCAAGUUGAAGCUAGUGUAAGAACUAGUGGAGGACUGAACCCAUAGGCGUUGAAAAGCCCCGGGAUGACUUGUGGAUAGGGGUGAAAGGCCAAUCAAACUUCGUGAUAGCUGGUUCUCUCCGAAAUAUAUUUAGGUAUAGCGUUGUGUCGUAAUAUAAGGGGGUAGAGCACUGAAUGGGCUAGGGCAUACACCAAUGUACCAAACCCUAUCAAACUCCGAAUACCUUAUAUGUAAUCACAGCAGUCAGGCGGCGAGUGAUAAAAUCCGUCGUCAAGAGGGAAACAACCCAGACUACCAGCUAAGGUCCCUAAGUCUUACUUAAGUGGAAAACGAUGUGAAGUUACUUAAACAACCAGGAGGUUGGCUUAGAAGCAGCCAUCCUUUAAAGAAAGCGUAAUAGCUCACUGGUCUAGUGAUUUUGCGCGGAAAAUAUAACGGGGCUAAAGUAAGUACCGAAGCUGUAGACUUAGUUUACUAAGUGGUAGGAGAGCGUUCUAUUUGCGUCGAAGGUAUACCGGUAAGGAGUGCUGGAGCGAAUAGAAGUGAGCAUGCAGGCAUGAGUAGCGAUAAUUAAUGUGAGAAUCAUUAACGCCGUAAACCCAAGGUUUCCUACGCGAUGCUCGUCAUCGUAGGGUUAGUCGGGUCCUAAGUCGAGUCCGAAAGGGGUAGACGAUGGCAAAUUGGUUAAUAUUCCAAUACCAACAUUAGUGUGCGAUGGAAGGACGCUUAGGGCUAAGGGGGCUAGCGGAUGGAAGUGCUAGUCUAAGGUCGUAGGAGGUUAUACAGGCAAAUCCGUAUAACAAUACUCCGAGAACUGAAAGGCUUUUUGAAGUCUUCGGAUGGAUAGAAGAACCCCUGAUGCCGUCGAGCCAAGAAAAGUUUCUAAGUUUAGCUAAUGUUGCCCGUACCGUAAACCGACACAGGUGGGUGGGAUGAGUAUUCUAAGGCGCGUGGAAGAACUCUCUUUAAGGAACUCUGCAAAAUAGCACCGUAUCUUCGGUAUAAGGUGUGGUUAGCUUUGUAUUAGGAUUUACUCCGAAAGCAAGGAAACUUACAACAAAGAGUCCCUCCCGACUGUUUACCAAAAACACAGCACUCUGCUAACUCGUAAGAGGAUGUAUAGGGUGUGACGCCUGCCCGGUGCUCGAAGGUUAAUUGAUGGGGUUAGCAUUAGCGAAGCUCUUGAUCGAAGCCCGAGUAAACGGCGGCCGUAACUAUAACGGUCCUAAGGUAGCGAAAUUCCUUGUCGGUUAAAUACCGACCUGCAUGAAUGGCGUAACGAGAUGGGAGCUGUCUCAAAGAGGGAUCCAGUGAA